rnacentral:lncRNA from 1 species
GCGGGAAGUGACAUAGCAAAGAGACUCAUAUUUGAGCAAGAAGAAACAGGAAGCUCCUCUUUUUCCCUUUGCAUCCUCCAGGAUGUGAGCCACCGGCAAGAAAGGGUCCCAGCAAAAGGCAUCCUCUAUAAAGAUAAGUCUUAUAAUAUAUAUAGAUUUAUGAUAAUUAAGACUGAGCUAGCAGAUGAGAAGUCCUAGUCAUUGGCCAAGCAGCUUUGAACCUAAUACAACUUUCUGUGUAUUCAUUUGGGCCCUAACUCGGGAAGGCAGCUGGUGUAAAGCACACACGUGGCAGUGGGGCUUGGGUGGCUUAUGGCAGAAAGAUUUAUCGUAACACAUGGCAGAGAAAAUUUUCUUGUGUUCUAGUACCUAACCAGGUUUUAAGCACAGGACUGUAAAUGAAACCAAGACUAAUUGUAAAAUCCAGGUCUGGCUAGUGACUGAAAAUAUGUGGUAGGAUAUUUAUAAACACAAUCAUAGGUACAUUUUACAGUGGCAUUAGUAAAGGCUGGAGAAUCUGGUGGUGAAUACAACAGCAACUUUAACUGGCUUACAGGCCAAUGUCCACAAGCAUCUACUCUAUAGAACAUGUGUGUGAAUUGGAUUUCAACUGCAUUUGUAGGUGGAGCCUGUUGGUAUUCCUCUCUUUCCUAUGAAGGACAGAUGUGUUACUAGGUGAAGCAUGGUUAUUCUUCUUCCUCCCAAGAAGGGUUCUCUCCCAUGAAGUUUCACACUUCCCUAGAAAUGACUCUUUAUGAUCAAUAUUUAUCACUUAAUAAUAAUUAAUUUUAUUCUACCUAAUGGAAAAUAUAUUAUUUUCUUCUUCUUCUUUAAUAUAAGGAACCUGAAAUGAGAAGCAACCCAUAAACUUGAGAAUCAAGUCUCCUAUGCUUCACUUUCUUUAGCUGAUUCAAAAACUCACCAAGAUCAUCCCUGCUUUCACCCUUGCUGUGGUCAUUGUCUAGGGAGCCUACUCUUAGGAGGAAUUCCUAUUGUUGCAUUUAAUUCAAAUGUUACUCUUGAGAAAGGUCUUCUCAGGUCCAUUUCUACAACAGUUUUCACAUUUGCAGAAACGACAAAUGAAUCAAAAUCCAAGUAUUUAACAGCAUUCUAUAUUAGAGUCAUGGAUAACCAUAAAAUAACACCCCUUUAGCAACUUAGAAUAUUUUAUAAAAUAUUUAGAAAUACACACAUCCAUAUCUUGAAGGGACAACAAUAAAAGCUAGAGAAUCUCUUGGUAUAGUUAAUGUUGGAAAGCUUCAAAUAAAUUCCCGAUUUCAGCUCAGUGUAUAUCUGUGGAUGUCUGUCUCUGCUUCCAUCAGCCACUGAAAAAGGGCUCUAGGAUUACAUAAAGAGAAGUCAUCAAUAUCAUUUUAGGGGAAGGGCUUUUAGGUUAUCCUCUCCACCAUUGCCUGGAUUGUCAGAUCCUGUGAAGAUCUUUUCCCAUUCUGUGGGUGGUCAUUUUGUCCUACUGACUGUUUCCUUUGCCUUGCAGAAGCUUCUCAGUUUCAGGAGGUCCCAUUUAUUAAUUGCAGACCUCAAUGUCUGUGCUACUGUUGUAAUGUUCAGGAAGCGGUCUCCUGUGCCAAUUUGUUCAAGGGUAAUUCCCACUUUCUCUUCUAGAAGAUUCAGUGUGGCUGGAUUUAUGCUGAUAUCUUUGAUCCAUUUGAACUUAAGUUUUGUGCAUGAUGACAAAUAUAGAUCUAUCUGCAAUUUUCUGCAUGUCAGAAUCCAAUUGUGCCAGCACCAUUUGAUGAAGAUGCUAUCUUUUUUCCAUUGUAUAGAUUUAGCACCUUUGUUAAAAAUGAGGUAUUCAAAGGUGUGUGGGUCAAUAUCAGGGUUUUCAAUUAGAUUCCAUUGGUCUAUCUGUCUAUUUUUGUGCCAAUACCAAGCUGUUUUCAGAACUAUGGCUCUAUAGUAGAGCUUGAAGUCGGGGAUGGUGAUGCCUCCAGAAGAUCCUUUAUUGUAAAGAAUUGUUUUGGCUAUCCUGGGUUUUUUAUUUUUCCAUAUUAAGUUGAGUAUUAUUCUUUCAAUAUUGGUGAAAAACUGUGUUGGGAUUUUGAUGGGGAUUGCAUUAAAUCUGUAGAUUGCUUUUGGCAGGAUUGCCACUUUUACUAUGUUAAUUCUACCUAUCCAAGCGCAUGGGAGACCUUUCCAUUUUCUGGUAUCUUCUUUAAUUUCUUUCUUUAAAGUCUCAAAGUUCUUAUUGUGCAGGUCUUUCACUUUUUUGGUUAGUGUUACCCCAAGAUAUUUUAUGUUGCUUGUGGAUAUUGUGAAAGGGGAUGUUUCCCUGAUUUCUUUCUCAUUGGAUUUAUCAUCUGUAUAUAGUAGAUGUCAUUGUUUCUUAACCCUGAGUAGUAUUCAAUUGUGUAAAUGUACCACAUUUUCUUUUUCUUCAGUUGAGGGGCAUCUAAGCUGUUUCCAAUAUCUUGCUAUUACAAACAAUGUUGUUAUGAACAUAGUUGAGCAAAUGUCCUUGUGGUAUGAAUGUACCCACUUUGGUUAUAUGCCCAACAGUGGUAUUGUAGGGUCUUAAGGUAGGGUCAUCCCUAAUUUUCUGAGAAAUUUCCAUAAUUAUUUCCUCAGUGGCUGUACAAGCUUGCACUACCACCAGCAAUGGAGGAGUAGUUCCCCUUUCUCCACAUCCUCUCCAGCAUAAGGUGUCAAUGGUGUUUUUGAUCAUAGCCAUUCUGAUCAGUGUAAGAUGGCAUCUCAGAUUUGUUUUGAUUUGCAUUUCCCUGAUGACUAAGGAUGCUAAGCAUUUCUUUAAUUGUUUUUCUGCCAUUUGAGAUUGUUAUGUUGAGAAUUUUCUAUUCUCUAUUGUACCCCAGUUUUAACUGGAUUAUUUGGUAGAUUUAUUUCUAGUUGCUUGAGUUCUUUUUGUAUUUUGGACAUCAGCCCUCUGUCAGAUGUGGGGUUGGUGAAGAUGUUUUCCCAUUCUGUAGGGAGCAGUUUUGUCUUGUUGACAGUGUUUUGUUUUUUUGUUUUGUUUGUUUUUUUUUGUUUUUGUUUUUGUUUUUUCAGACCGAUCUUAUGCAGGCAGUUUCUCAAUUGUUUCUUCCUUUGAGAUGACUCCAACUUAUGUAAGGUUGACAUAAAACUAGCCAGAAUACCAACUAUUCUCUCAACUUUGAGAAUGUUAGUUUAAUGUUGAAGAGGAUUCUUCUUUUUUGAUACCUGGACUUGUAUCUUUUCAGACUCUAAGCAAACAUUAAACAUGUUUAAUUUUCUCAACAGUUCCAUAUAGUAACCUAGCUUGUUCUGGACUGUUCUUCUCCAUUAAGCACUUAUUUCAUCUUUCUGUGUUGUACCUGCCUCCCCAUAUUUGUCUUUGAUUGAAGGUUCACAGGAGCCAUGAGUUGUUCAUUAAACUAAAUUCUCAAGAACCGAAACUACAAAAUAGAAGACGUUUGUUAAUAUUAUGUUGAGAUAAAUUACUUAUUCCAUUUUUUUCUUUAAGAAAAUAACAUAGUAACUGAGAGUUCUUGUGUGUAAAGCAAAAAAGACUGAAAUUUAAAUCCUAGACCUGACACAUAUUAGCUGGGUAAUUUCAGGAAAGACAUACAUGGCUUUGGUUUCUGGUCUUCCAUUCAGGUGUCUGUAAGAAAAUGAAGGGUCAAUACAGGGCUGAGAGGAAGUUUAGGAUAUUUAUCUAAGAGAAAGCCUUCCAUGAAAAAUAUAAGACAGACUCAUUACAACUGAAUGACACAAGCAACCCAAUUAGAAUCCACAAAUGAUUUGAGUAGACAUUUCAGUAAUUAAAGAAGAUUUGAGAAUGGCAAAUCAGUACAGAAAGAAAUGUCACAGCUCCUUCAGAAUUAUGGAAAUGCAAAUUAAAAGCACAGUGAAAUUCCGUAAACACUUAUCAGAAUAGUUUACACUUAAGUAACAAAAUCCUUAAAAAAAAUUUCACUCAGUGUGUGAGGUAAGUACAGUUCUUACUCAUUGUUGAGAAAACAAAAUACUGUAUAGCUUUGCAAUAGUACAGCACUUUCAUAAAAAGUUAAAUAUUCAUUCACCGUGUACCUAGCUAUUCCAGCCCUGGCCUUUACUCAAGACACACUAACAUAGGUGUCAUGUCCAAGAAUAAAGAGAGUGGCUGUAAAACUUUACUUGUCAAAGUCCAAAACUAGAUACAUUCCAAAUGGCUAUCAACAGAUAGAUGAAGCAAAUAAGCCAAACCAAACAAAGGGCCAUUGUUGAAGAUCUAUUGAAUGGAUCAUAACACAGCAUAGAGAACUAAUAAUCAAAACACACAAACUAGAUUAGUAUGAAAACCAUUAUGUUUAGUAAAGGAAAUAAAAUAAAAAUGAUUCAUUCUCUAUAUUUUAUUCAUGUUGGAUUAUAGAAAAUACAAUGUACUUUAUUGUGACAGAAAGCAUGGCAUUACUUUCCCAGAGAUGACAAUGAGGAGAGAUGGAUGCAAAUGCACAGAAAAUGUUAACGCCAUACGUGGGGAUGUGUAGCUGUAGCCAGUUGUGUUGAUUCCUUGAGCUUUCAGGCCACCCACACUAAUCCUGACUUAGCUUCUGUGAGGGACCAUUUUCAAAAACUAAGGCUGAGAAGUGAUUGAGGAAGUCAUUCUGAUGUUACCCAUAUCCCCAAACACACCCAUACAGGUUUCUGAACGCCCCUAACACACACCAUAUACUACAACAGCAGUCCAACAGGUGCUUUUAUCAGCAAACAAAAUCAGACAAAUAAGAAAAAAAUUUAAGGUGAAAAAAUGUUCAUACACAAACUAUCUACCUGCUUGGAAUGUUGGGCAGGACACUGAAUAGCAAAAUCACAAUGUCUUAGUGAUAUAUUGAAUAACAAAAGAACAAAGAUCACUGAAGACUUGUAAAAAACACAAACCCAUUCACAGUAGUAGUCACAAUAAAGCUAAAAAGACAAAACCACUUUAUUUAGUGAUUGUCAGACUAAAAAAAGGGAAACAGUUGGAUAAAUGCUAUUUAUAAGGGCAUGAUUAUGCUGAAAUGAAAAGAGGUAGAAGAUGUUACACCAUAAAGUAUAAAUCAAAUAUUUAAUCUAUCUGCUUUAACAUCCAUCAAAAAGACCACCAAGACAAGGAGUGGCAUUUUGUUUGUUUGAGAACUUAAUGAAUACAUACAAUAUACUUUGAUCAAAUACUUUUACAUCCCAUCCCCUCCAAUUUAACCCUGUUGCCUCAUACUUUAUGUACUCUUUUUUAUCUUUGCAUCUUUUGUUGGUAUUUCACACAAUAUAUUUUGAUCAUAUGAUUUCUAUUCCUCCAACUCCUCCCUUCUUUAUCCAUAGAACUCAUGUUCUUUAUCUCUCUUAUAAACAAAAUAAUGGCAAAACAACAGCAACAACACUGAAUCUUGUAGUCCAAUUUGUGUUAGCCAUUGUGCCUGGUUACCAGGUGAAUUCUACCAAACUUAAAUAUAUUAAUUGAUUAUGACAACUUUAAAGGGGACUGGAGAGAUGGCUCAGAGAGUAAGAGCACUGACUGCUCUUCCAAAGGGCCUGAGUUCAAUUCCCAGUAACCACAUGGUGGCUUACAACCAUGUAUAACGAGAUCUGGUGCCCUCUUCUGGUAUGUAGGCACAACACUGUACAGAUAAUAAAUCUGGAAAAAAAAACUGCUGACAACAACAAAAAGACAACUUUAAGGUGCUUAAAGUAAUAAAAAAAAUUACUAAAUGAAUGUAAAGGUUGUCAAUUUCACUUGAAAGUCUUAGUACUUUCCUUUACUAUUGUUUUUUACUAGUCAGUGAGUUAGUAGAACAAACAGAAGCAUGUGGUGUUCCAGGUGUCAAGUGGUGGCACUUCAAGGAGCAGAAAGAUCAACUUUGUGAACUUUGCCUAUAGGUCUCAUAGCUGAAAAACUGGGAUUGACCAUUUAGGACAUGUCAGAUGAUCAACUGAAAAAGCCCAGCUGUGGUAAAAUGGGAGGAUAUAAACAUGACUGUUAAAAGUUAUCAAGAAGGAAGAUGGAGAAAACAUUGUACUGACAACUAUUUGGAUUCACACAAAGAACUCCAAAAGAAGAGAAAUAGACUACUAUCUUAUAAGCUGAGAUGUCUACUCUGUCUUAACACUUCCUGUGGAGCUGUGAGAAGACUCGUUGCUGCAUCUCUGGCACCCUCAGCCAAGCCCACACCACAUCAGUGACAAAGUGAAGACUUCACACUUACUGUAGACAGAAGUUUCUGUGUGCACGAGAUGGAGGCUACUGAGACACCUGGUUUUGGACUGAGCAACCACAGGAUUCCUGACCUCACUAGUGUGUACCAGACCAUUGUUGAACUAUCCAAUGGGUAUCCUGUAAGGCAGUCUAAUAAAUUCAUUUUAUAAUAAUUAUUCAUUUCUGUCUUUUCUGUUCCUCUCAAGAAGCUGACCAGUGGGAACAGUGUGAAAGAGUAUACCAUUAGAGAAGAAAAACUCUCAAAUGAACAAAUAGCAAAAUAAGAAAUAACCUCCUGGUUCAUUUUGUGGUUGUCUUCAAAGCCUUCCUAAGCCUCAUGUAAAAUCCAAGAAUCUGUUUUGAAUAAAUGCCUUCCAAAGACUGCAAUCUGUAAAAUAGAAGAUAUUCAAAGGACUUGCCUCUAAUCAAAUUUAUUUGAAAAGUGCAGACCUCCUGCAUUUUCACUCAAAAUGCAAAAGUUUUUAAUUCAAAGAACUAUAUUCUGUUUCCACCAUGAGCUGAGUAACUGUGCAUUAAUGGUGUGGAGUAAAACCCACCCAAACCAUUUCCAACAAUAAGUGAAAUUAAGUUAUCCUUUUGUAAUUGUUUCUUCUGAAAGUAGAUUUGAUGUUAUCUGAUUUUUGGCAUUGAUUUCUACUUCCCCCAUCCCCAGUGAUAAUAACAAACUGAUGGACAGGUUUUUUUUUUUUCUUUUCUUUUUUUUUACAAAACACUUCACACAAAUGUCUCAGGUGAUCCUCCCAAAUGCUUCCAUGAGGUGAAAAGACAACAGUUAUUAGCUUAAGUUUGCAUUUGAAGAACCAUCCAACUAUGCAUGACAUAAUAGUGACAGAAAAUCCCUUGUUCAUUUUCUUAUCAGCGCUUCAUUUCCUACUGUGUGUUGCACAUUACAGAAGAAAGAGUUAUUAGAAAAAUAACUAGAUGACAUGUUUAUUCUGUAAAUUUUCUCUUUGACAAGAAAGUACUUUCAUAUUCCUUCACUGGGUCUACUUGGUGAAAAAGAUGUAGCUCUUACAUCUUUUCAGUGCACAGCAGAACAGAAAAAGAAGUAGUAAUUUUCCUGAAUGUUGGUGAAUGGUGGAAUUGAAACAAGUACAGGUCAGAGAAUCAGGCAACAGUGAACAUCCUUCUACAACUGUGGACAUUAAGUAGGACUUCCCCAAGGUGGUGACUCAGAUUUGACAAUUGCCCCAGAGAAAGCAAAACAAAUGGAGACUAGGAAUGGGCAACACACUUCAGAAAGAAGAAACAAGAGGGAUUGGGAAUUGACUUCCCUUGAUGUUUCAGCAGUAGAUCAUUUUCCAUAGUUUAUUAGGAUCCCACUACUCCACAUAUUUCUUCUGAUGCUCAAGAACUCAUGGCUGAGCCUCAAUGGCCCAACAGGACACUUCAAGGCUUUGACAUUGUUUUCUCAAGAUAUUGGCAGACUUUCUUGGUAACCAAGUGUCUGUUCACUCUUGACUUCUAAGACUCAUUCCUGGAUGCUGUCUAGGAAAACCUCUGAGUAUAAAUUCUUCUUUGUUCUAGUCCCUGAGGACCACAUUCCUUUGGACUCUGCUAAUCUGAAUUCAUAAGGAUGCCUUCCUUUAGCUGAAAUGGAAGAUGUGAGUCCCUUCAGUACCUUCACUCAGUGGCCUGGUGACAGUUUUAACAGUUUAUUUUCCUGACCUCCAACAUUUCUUUGUUUUGAAUAAAAUUUCCAGGUUACUUGGCACUCCUUGUGAUCCUUUAUUUCAAUUCUUCAAGUAGGAGGCCAUAGCUCUGGAAACACCAAGCUAAUACUCCACCCUAGGCAACAUUUGCAUCAUAAGUUGGCUUUAAAUUAGUGUUUGGCUACCUAACCAUUCUGUAGAAUUGUAAAAUUUUCUCUGGGUUUCAGAUGUCAUAAUUCUUUUUAUAGUGCGGUUACUUAAGAAUGCUGAUAUACAUACAUGCUGUGAUUGAAUACUUUGAAUAGUCCCUGGAGGAUUAAAUGAAAUGAUUUGUGCAAAAUACAAAGCUGACCCAGAAAAAUAUCUUAAUAAAUGGCAUUUGAAAUACAAUUUAACUUAACAUGAGAAAUAUGUUGGAAAUUAACCAUUAUGAGUUUAAGCUUUUACUAUUUCUUGCCCUUGAGAAAACUCUUUAAUGUCUCCAUAUUCAGGAAAAUUUCAGGGCAGACUUCUUUAGUUCUUGUAAUACUAUCAUGCUAUGCUGUAAGCAUAUUAUAUAAAAUAUGAAAAUCUCUUAGCAUGAUGAUCCCAUCUUAGUACGAUGAUGGAUUAAUAGAUUGAUUAUUGCCUACUGAUUAUUGAAUUUCUCUUGGUUGUCACUAGAAUUAGCUAAUAGGACUCUACUAAUGGAAACAUAAUGAAUGUUUGUUGCAAAAUAUAAAGAAAUCAAGUUGGAACUGAGCUGGAAGCUCCCUCCAUUGUGACUAUUUUCAGUAGUUCUGGAGAUGCUAGGCAGGGUGUUAGGGGACAAAAAUCUUCAACAGUCUUAUCCAACUGUGAACCCUGUAGACUACAAUCCAAA